rnacentral:lncRNA from 1 species
AUCUAACUCUGUUUGUCUAUAAAUUUUGUAUCUUCAUUUUGUGUAUCUGGGAUGCAUGAUAUCAUAGCCCUCUUUAAUUAGACCUCUUUCCUUUUUCUUCCUAACCUCCACUUAACAAUAAAUGAUCAAAAAUAAAUAAAUUUGUGAGGGUUCAACUUUUGAUAUGGAUGAAUUGAAACCAUUAUGGAAAAGUUUUAGAAGAUCACAC